CUGUGUAAAAAGAGUAAACAAUGACAUAUACAGAAGAAAACGCUGGAAGCUACAAUGAAGAAAUAUUACCUUCUUACUGUUCUUUUUGCUACCUGCACAGAUGUGUUGUGUCAAGAUGUAGUAACACAGUCAAGUGAGAUCUUUGCAAAAGAAGGAGAAGAUGUACAUUUCUACUGCAGUGCUAAGCAGGAUUAUCCAUAUAUUUACUGGUACAAACAGUUACCUAAUCAAGCACCAGAAUUUGUGAUGAAUGCACUUGGUACUUCCAAGUCAGAGGGCCGAUUUAAUCUGAAAAGAAACAACAGCACCUCUUGGACGUUCAUCAUCAGAAAGGUAACACUGCAAGACACAGCUGUGCACUUUUGUGCAGCAAGUGACACAGUGAUUGAGAUGAAUGAAAUGCUGAAACAAAAAGCCAGCUCCUUCUUACAAUUAUAUAACAAAAACACAUGUAUUCAGUGCAAAGAUGUCCAUACCUUUUAUACUAGUGGUUUUGAUUUUUCAAGCAUGGAAUAAAACAUCUGA